CGGAGUUUUGCAUCACGAGUUAGAGUCAACCCGAGGACGGUCUUAGCGGGAGGAAGCUGAGGGCCCGCGAUGAUGGACUUAAUGUGGGCAAGUUAAUGCGGCGAAACCCCCGGGUUAGCCGUGAGAUUAAAGAACAAAGAACAAGGAUUAAAGAAUAAAGAGUAAAGAAUAAAGAACUUGCAUACUUGUAUGAUUUACGUUGAGCAUACUUUCUGCUUUAUUGUUCAAGCAUAUUAGCAUCAUGAUUAUAGUUUGGUUACUAUUCUGCUUAUCCUUUCUAUUAUGCCUGAGUUAGUCCUAGUGGAAAAGUAGGUGAGAUUGGGGCCGAACCCACUUGGAACUUUGUUGUAGUUCUCACUCCACUAUUUCCACAGAGCCGUGAACGAGCGAGCCGGCGAGCGACCGUGGUAAAGGUAUCGCACCAUAGUCAUAGGCCACCAGAGUUGGGUUAUUUCAUAUUUUGAUAGUAGCUACCCUAUUGUCAUCUUUUGUACUUGAAGUUGUUUAACGUAAAGUAAAGAAUGUAAAAGCUUUAUUUUGAGGCAAUGUGAUGUAAAAAGAAAUGAUGCAAGUGAUGUAAUGAAAUGUAAAGACUUUAUGAAUGUACAAGUUGGAUGAAAUGGAUGCAUGUAUGUGAUCAAAAGAGAGUCAUAGUACUUGUGUAGAUGUUUAGUUUCCUUUCUUUCACUCAUGGCUAUUGCUUACCCUCGUGUAAGCCGUUUGUGUAUGUUUCGGCUAGUGCUUUUCUCUACUUGAAAAUGUACAGGUGAUGAGCCUUCGGCGGACAGGGGAAACUCUGUCCGUUUGGCAUCUGUUUGACGUGCCCGGGCCGGCCAAAAUUGAUAUCGGUCCCGGGACAUGACAGAUAUUGUGGUAUCAGAGCCUAGAGUGAAAGAAUAGGAAUGGACCUAGAGACCCUUAGGAUUGGAAAACCUUAAGGAUCUAAGAAACGUGAGUGACGUGGAAUUAAAGUUAGCGAAAGCAUGUGAUUGGGUCAAGUUGCGAUGUCUCUAAUGUGAUUAGAGGCUAAGUUUGAAUUGAUGUUCGUUCCCUACUCCUUAUUUUGUGUCGGGCGGCCGACGACAUAAUGCUUGGGGCGAGAACGAAUGCAUAAGUUGCUUUCGCCGGAUUGGGUAUGGUCAAGUAGCUAAUGUGUAUUGCUUCGUUUCAGGAAGCAAUGGCUCGUCGUGGACCUCAAACUAGGUCAAUGCCCGAGGAGCCGAGUGCAGAGCCCGGGCGAUCCAGAGCGAGUGGCGACGAAGAGCUUAGGGAUCAAUUGGCUGCACUUAUUGGAGUAGUGCGGCAGCAAGCAGAGUCUGUGCGAAGCCAAGGGGAGCAGAUCCAAAGGCUCCAAGAGGCUAUUGAGCGACAACAUGCGGCGGCGACGCAAGCGCGCGCUGGACCUCCUG
rnacentral:lncRNA from 1 species